UGCACUAGGAGACCUGAGUGCUGCAUUUUCAUGACCACAAAUGAGGAGUAGCUACAAAUGAGGCCACAAAAGAGAGAUCACAAGUAGACGGAGAAGCAGGCAGAGAGAGAGAGAGAGAAGCACGCUCCCUAUGAGCAGAGAGACCGAUGCGGGACUUGAUCCCAGGACCCUGAGAUCAUGACCUGAGCCAAAGGCAGCAGCUUAACCCACUGAGCCACCCAGGUGUCCCCAUAUGGUGAUUUUCCAAUUGCUCUGUACUGGAAGUUGGAUCUGGUGGUGACCCAGCAUUUACAAUGCACAUGACGACAAUGCCUCAUAUUGCGGCAGUCUUCCUGCUAACCUGUGCCCUUGAAUGACUCCAUGGA